rnacentral:tRNA from 1 species
GCCUUCGUGGUGUAGUGGUCAGCACGCUCGGCGCGUAUUCGAGAGGUCCGUGGUUCGAGUCCCGGCGAGGGCG